CAACAACAAAACCAGGGCAAUGAGAUCACAGGAAAGGCGGAACUGUGCACAAUCGGAAAACGCAUAAAAUCUUUUCGUUGGCUGGCUUUCCUGUUUGUGUUCCAUAUUUAGGCGCAAUUUCUACUUCAGUAGAAGCGACGUCUUCACCUGGUAAUGCCCUCUGCCCCCUGCAAAUGUAGGCAGAUGGGGCAGCAAGACUGCCUAGGCCACGUCACCAGGGCCAGUGCCAGGACACCUUGGUGGGGGAGUGAGGGAGGCGUAAGGUGGUCACUGUCUUUGAGCAGCGUGCUCAGUGUGGGCCAGACCCUGUGCCAGGCAUGAGGUGGUGGUGCCUCUCGGGGAGACAGAGAGGGGACCUCUCUGGCCAGGUGAGAUCACCUGUCACAGGUUCUCAGAGCAUCACAUAUUUCUCCUUCAUAGCGCUUGUCACAGCAGCAAUUUUACCGAGCAGGAGUCCCAUCUAGUUUUCUUUAUUGUUUCUCUCCAGCACCUAGCACAGUGCCUGCCACAGCAUAGGUGGAUGAAUCAAAAUUUGUUGAUUAAAUAAACGAAGUCCAUGAUCGCUAUGCUCCAGGGACAGAGAGAAGGAAACAGGUUAACUGUAAAACAAUUAUUUUUGCCAUUUGGCAGGUUUUGACCAACUGCCUUUUCUUCUUUCCAGGAUCUUCUAGUAUUACUGUAACCACCUUAACAGCUUCAGUCGCAACCACCGUGACCUCCACACCAGAUACCUCUUCAACCUCAGUGGAAGUGACCUCUCCACCUGAUAUAUCUUCAGCCUCCACAGAAGUGGACCCGCCCCCUGACACAAGUCUCACUCGGGAAGAGGAGACCUCUUCACCAGGUACGCUCUCUGCUCUUUGCGGCAGCCCUCGUGAAUGACUUCCUGAGAAACCCCAGCCCAGCAGGACUUACACACCCAGAGGAAACACUUCCUGUUUUUCCCAGGAGAGGUCAGGGGAGAUGGGGGGCUAGGGGUGGUAGGGAAGCUCCAGACCGCUACCCUAAAAGUGGCUCUGAUUCUGAACACGGUGAAGGCAGAUGUGAGGACGGGAUGACUAGGAUAAAAGGGCGUCAAGGGUCAACCCUGGAGGAUACCUUAGAGAUGAGAUGACCCACGGCAGCAAACCUCAAAUGUUGACGUGCACGUGAGUGGCCUGAAGAACUUGUUAAAAUGCAGAUUUGGAUUCAGUGGCUCCAGGGUGGAGUCUGGAUUCUGCAUUUCUCACGGGCUCCCAGACGAUGCUGCCGGUCGGUCAGCGACCGCCCUCGAGGAGUAAAAUGCUAAACCACUACUCUCGCUUUGGAGGAAAAGGAGGCCCUGAGAAGGAGGACACCUGCCACUGUCCUAGCUCAGGCAGCCAUAACUGAAUACCACAGACUGUGAGGCUUAAACAGCAAAGACUUACUUCCCACAGUUCUAGAAGUCCAAGAUCAAGGUGCCGGCAGGGUCGGCGUCUGGUGAGGGUCUUCCCUUGGGUUGAAGAUGGCCACCUUCUCGCUGUGCGCUCACAGGGCCUUCCCUUCCCCAGUGUGUGCUCCCUGAGGGGGAGAGAGACAGAGAGAGAGGGAGAGAAUGGGAGCUCUGAUGUGUCUUCUUAUAAGGAUGCUAAUCCUAUCAGAUCAGGGCCUCCCCUUAUGACCUCACUUAACCUUGACUACUUCCUCAGUGGCCCCAUCUCCAAAUACAGCUACACUGGGAGUUAGGGCUUUGACAUGUGAAUUUUGAGGGGACAUAACUGAGUCCACAGCAGUCACUGAGCAAGCUGGGGAUCCCAGCUCCCAGCCAAGGUCCUUUCUGCUCCCAGUCUUUGCCGAUGAAUCUGCCUGUGUGACUCCAUUCGAUCUGUCUGACGCUGACCUCUUGAGUAG
ensembl:lncRNA